rnacentral:rRNA from 1 species
GGAAAGCGGGGGCUCGCUAAGACCUCGCGCUAUUGCGCAUGAGCCAAAGUCGUGAGUUAGCUAGUUGGUGGGGUAAUGGCGCGUACCAAGGCGACAAUCCGUAGCUGGUCUGAGAGGACGACCAGCCACAUCGCGGAACUGAGCACACGGUCCGGACUCCUACGGGAGGCAGCAGUGGGGGGAAUAUUGGACAAUGGGGGAAACCCUGAUCCAGCGACGCCGCGUGUGUGAAGAAGGCCUGCGGGUUGUAAAAGCACUUUAGUGGGGACAAAAAGCUACGGAUUAAUACUCUGUGGUCUUGAUUUAACCCAGAGAAGAAGCACCGGCUAACUCUGUGCCAGCAGCCGCGGUUAAUACAGAGGGUGCGAGCGUUAAUCGGAAUUACUGGGCGUAAAGCGCGCGUAGACGGUUUCCGUAAGUCAGAUGUGAAAUCCCUGGGCUCAA